rnacentral:rRNA from 1 species
GAUGAACGCUGGCGGCGUGCCUAAUACAUGCAAGUCGAGCGAACGGACGAGAAGCUUGCUUCUCUGAUGUUAGCGGCGGACGGGUGAGUAACACGUGGAUAACCUACCUAUAAGACUGGGAUAACUUCGGGAAACCGGAGCUGAUACCGGAUAAUAUUUUGAACCGCAUGGUUCAAAAGUGAAAGACGGUCUUGCUGUCACUUAUAGAUGGAUCCGCGCUGCAUUAGCUAGUUGGUAAGGUAACGGCUUACCAAGGCAACGAUGCAUAGCCGACCUGAGAGGGUGAUCGGCCACACUGGAACUGAGACACGGUCCAGACUCCUACGGGAGGCAGCAGUAGGGAAUCUUCCGCAAUGGGCGAAAGCCUGACGGAGCAACGCCGCGUGAGUGAUGAAGGUCUUCGGAUCGUAAAACUCUGUUAUUAGGGAAGAACAUAUGUGUAAGUAGCUGUGCACAUCUUGACGGUACCUAAUCAGAAAGCCACGGCUAACUACGUG